CGUACUCGAACCAUAGGCCGAGGCGGUUGGAGAGGAUAUUGAGCUUGCCUUCGGUGUCGAGGGAGCGGUAUUGAGGGGGAAGAGGAGAGGGAGGGGGGCGGAAUGGCUGGUACACUUGUUGCUUUGCGGCUAAGGAGGAAGAAGAAGGGUUAAUAAUGGCGGAAAUGGGGUUUAGACGGCGACGGAGGAAGAGGCGGAGAGGGGAGUCUCUGGGUUGAUGGAGGAAGAUGGAGGUGGUGUGGGCAAUGGAGGAGAGAGAACUGAGAGAGUUGGCGUUGGUGAUGGUGGAGGAGAGCAUGGUGAAU
rnacentral:lncRNA from 1 species